GGCCCUGCUUGCAGGGUACUCGAGUGGCGAACGGGUGAGUAACACGUGGGUGAUCUGCCCUGCACUUCGGGAUAAGCCUGGGAAACUGGGUCUAAUACCGGAUAGGACCAUCGUUUAGUGUCGGUGGUGGAAAGUUUUUCGGUGCAGGAUGAGCCCGCGGCCUAUCAGCUUGUUGGUGGGGUAAUGGCCUACCAAGGCGUCGACGGGUAGCCGGCCUGAGAGGGUGGACGGCCACAUUGGGACUGAGACACGGCCCAGACUCCUACGGGAGGCAGCAGUGGGGAAUAUUGCACAAUGGGCGCAAGCCUGAUGCAGCGACGCCGCGUGGGGGAUGAAGGCCUUCGGGUUGUAAACUCCUUUCAGCAGGGACGAAGCUUUUGUGACGGUACCUGCAGAAGAAGCACCGGCUAACUACGUGCCAGCAGCCGCGGUAAUACGUAGGGUGCGAGCGUUGUCCGGAAUUACUGGGCGUAAAGAGCUCGUAGGUGGUUUGUCGCGUCGUCUGUGAAAUUCCGGGGCUUAACUCCGGGCGUGCAGGCGAUACGGGCAUAACUUGAGUGCUGUAGGGGAGACUGGAAUUCCUGGUGUAGCGGUGAAAUGCGCAGAUAUCAGGAGGAACACCGAUGGCGAAGGCAGGUCUCUGGGCAGUUACUGACGCUGAGGAGCGAAAGCAUGGGUAGCGAACAGGAUUAGAUACCCUGGUAGUCCAUGCCGUAAACGGUGGGCGCUAGGUGUGGGGGUCUUCCACGACUUCUGUGCCGUAGCUAACGCAUUAAGCGCCCCGCCUGGGGAGUACGGCCGCAAGGCUAAAACUCAAAGGAAUU
rnacentral:rRNA from 1 species